rnacentral:rRNA from 1 species
GACGAACCGUGCGAACGUUAUUCGGAAUCACUGGGCUUAAAGCGCGUGUAGGCGGGACGGCACGUCGGUCGCUGAAAGCCCCCGGCUCAACCGGGGAACGGGCGCCGAUACGACCGGCCUGGAGGGACGUAGGGGGACCUGGAACUUCCGGUGGAGCGGUGAAAUGCGUAGAGAUCAGGCGGAACACCCGUGGCGAAGGCGGCCAGCUGGGCCGACCCUGACGCCGAGGCGCGAAGGCGUGGGGAGCGAACGGG